UGAGCAGCAGCAGCAGCAGGUCUCACAUGGAGGUCAGACAUCGAGCCGCUCUGAGACAGACAGCGAUCACAGGUGCCGGUUUUAUCUUGGAUUUUAGAGAAGUAAGAAAGAAGUAGUGUUACAGGCAACAGGAACCAAUCAGAGAUGAAGUGUCUGACAACCGCCCUCUUCUUUGUUCUUUUGUCUACAAUAGCAUUCGCUAAGCCGAUGGGUCGGCGUCGACAUCACGGUGCCAACCAUGCUGACAAUGACUUGACCCGGAGAGGUCCGAACCGGAAUAGAUUGGGCUCUUGGCGGCCUCGCGACUCGUCAUCGGAGUCUUCUUCCAGCGAGUCCAGCGAAUCCUCAGAAAGUCAAUCUUCGGAGGAGUCUACCGAGGUCACAGCCACAAGAGUCACCACAACAGACGGGAGCACCUUCACUUCAGAACCAGACACAACGAUUACAGAUGACCGUGUGGAUUCGUCAACUCCCCCGGCAGCAACCCCGGCCCCGCCCGUUCCCGGGACCUCACCCGGAUGUGUGACUCAGUCUUUUACCACGGACAUUGCAACUAAUGUUCCCAUCACAGAAAUUAGAGGAGACAACUAACUAACCACUAGAGUUGAGCCGGAUACUCGGCUGAAACGAGUAUCCGGUACGGAUAAAGCACUCUUUCCGAGUAUGAGUAUUAUACGAGUAAUACGAGUCAAUAUCUGUGCUCGGAUUGAAUAAAAGUCCUCACUGGGUAGCUGUCUGUGUCUGCGUUCUGUGAUUGGCUGGUAGUCACAGCGCCCCUCCCCUACACACAUACUGUUUAUUGUGUUGCCGUGUCCCGCUCGGCUCACUCAUACACAGAACUUCUCCCUCCCUCCCUCAGUCAUCAGGUUCGCGGGUCUUUCCCGUUAAAUUUAAAAGAUUUCUUCGGCUUCAGGUUUAUUUUUUUACUUCGGUUUGUUGUUCUUAACUAGUAGAGUUCAGGUAAACGUGGGGCUUGUUAAGACGCGGCGCUUAAGAAUGCGACUAUUAAUAUUACAAAUUAAGACACACACACACUUCCCAGAGUUCUCAGAGU